UACGGAGGGUGCGAGCGUUGUCCGGAAUCAUUGGGCGUAAAGGGCGCGUAGGUGGCCCGGUCAGUCCGUGGUGAAAGCGCGGGGCUCAACCCCGCGUCGGCCAUGGAUACUGCUGGGCUUGAGCACUGUAGAGGCAGGCGGAAUUCCGGGUGUAGCGGUGGAAUGCGUAGAGAUCCGGAAGAACACCGGUGGCGAAGGCGGCCUGCUGGGCAGUUUAGCUGACACUGAGGCGCGACAGCGUGGGGAGCAAACAGG
rnacentral:rRNA from 1 species